GUUGCUUAUUUCAAACACAGUUGCAGAGAGGAAGGAGCAGCUUCAGUGGUACCUUCAAUGGCGGCGGGAAAAAAACUCCAUGUUCUUCAAUUUCCAUGGUGCGCAUUCGGCCACAUUAUUCCCAAUUUUCAUCUCUCCAUAGCCCUAGCCAAAGCCGGAGUCCACGUCUCCUUCGUCUCCACUCCUAGAAAUCUACAGAGACUCCCAAAACUUCCUCCACCUCUCGCCUCCCUCAUCACUCUCGUCCCCAUUCAGCUCGGUGGCGAUCUCCUACCGGAAGGCGCCGAGGCGACGGUGGACCUCCCGCUCGACAAGGUUCCUUAUCUCCAAAAAGCCCUAGAUCUCGCCGAGCCGGCGUUCCGGAGCUUCGUCGCCGGUCAUCCGAAUCCGCCGGACUGGUUCAUCGUCGAUUUUAACGCGACUUGGAUCUGCGACGUUUCUCGAGACUUCCGAAUCCCGAUCCUGUUCUUCAACGUUCUCUCUGCUGGAUUUCUCGCGUUCGUGGAGAAGGUUUUCGGAGAAGGGCCAACGGAUGUGGAGAAGCUCACGACGCCGAUCCAGAUCGGUGAAUUUCGGUCGACGGUGUCGUUUCGACGAUUUGAAGCCGUUACGAUGCUCUCUGAAUUUCCUGUGGAGGACGAGAGCGGGAUGAGUGUUCGCGAGCGGGUGGCGAAGAUUCAUUCCGCCUGUGAAGCGAUUCUGCUUCGUGCUUGCGACGAAUCGGAUGGUUUAUACUUGAAUUUAUACAGCAAAAUUUGUGGAAAAAAAGUAGUUCCUCUAGGGCUUCUCCCGCCGGAAAAGCCCCAAAAAACAGAGCUCCCCGCCGAUUCGCCAUGGAAAUCGACGUUUGAGUGGCUCGACAAACAGAAUCCCCGAUCCGUGGUGUUCGUCGGAUUUGGCAGCGAGUGGAGACUCACGAAAGAUCAAGUUCACGAGAUAGCGCGUGGAGUGGAGCUCUCGGAGCUCCCAUUUCUAUGGUCUCUGAGAAAGCCGGCCUGGGCGACGGAGGAUUCCGACGCUUUUCCGGUCGGAUUCCUGGAGAGGACGGCGGAGAGAGGGAUCACGAGCAUGGGGUGGGCCCCGCAGAUGGAGAUUUUGGCGCAUCCGACAAUCGGAGGGUGUAUGUUUCACGUGGGGUGGGGAUCCACCAUUGAAGCUCUGCAAUUCGGGCAUUGCCUUGUAGUGUUGCCGUUCAUCAUCGAUCAGCCGCUGAAUGCGAGGUUUCUGGUGGAGAAGGGCUUUGCGAUUGAGGUUGAAAGAAAUGAAGACGACGGGUCUUUCACCGGAGAAGCCAUAGCCAAAGCUCUGAAAGGAGCUAUGGUUUCAGAGGAAGGAGAAGAGAUAAGGAAGCGGGCCAGAGAGGCUGCCGCCAUUUUUGGGGACACCGAGCUUCAUCGGCGAUAUAUUGAGGAUUUCGUCCAAUUCCUCAAAAAUGGAGAUCCCAAUCAAUUAAAUGGUGUUUGAAGAUAUGAUUUCUCGCCACAGUUUCAAGCUAUAAUUUCUUCAGAUGAAAAUAGCUUUUGGUUUCGAUUUGUUAUGUUUUUUAAAAAUUAUUGAGUGUACUAGAACUACCCCUUUUUAAAACAAAGGAAAACAUUGCUGUGCUAACUCUGAAAAAUACUUGACACAACCACGGGGAUCAAAUCAAGUCGAAAAACCGAUCCGAUCAACAAAAACUCGAUUUAAGAAGUGAAUCGAUCGGUGUCGAUUGGUACACUCUUUCAAAAUCAAUUAAAGAGUAUGGGGUGGGCCCCGUAGGUGGAAAUUUUGGGGAAUCCGACGAUCGGAGGGUGUUUGUUUCACGCGGGGUGGGGAUCCGCCAUUGAAGUUCUGCAAUUCGGGUAUUACUGCGUUGUAGUAUUGUCGUUCAUCAUUAAUCAACCGCUAAAUGCGAGGCUUCUGGUGGAGAAGGGCCUUACGAUUGAAGUUGAAAGAAAUGAACAAGGAGUCUUUCACAAUCUUAUGAUUAGAGGAGGCGAGCAAUGGAGGCUGCCGCCAUUUUUGGGAACACCGAGCUUCAUCAACGAUACGUUGAGGAUUUUGUCCAAUUCCUAAAAAAUGGGGAUUCCGAUUCCAAUUAAAGCUAUUAUUUUGUUUCUUUCUUCUUUUUCUGGCAAGAUAUUUGAUCUGUGACGUUCAAGGGAGGUGGCUCUUGUCGAACAUUGCUAAAUUGGUCGUUGUAACAAGCUUCCACGGAAGUUCGAUGGUUUGCAUUUGGUUUAGUUUCAAUAAUAUUCCACUGUUAUUUUUUAGUACAUCAACCUCGAG